rnacentral:rRNA from 1 species
UACGGAGGGAGCUAGCGUUGUUCGGAAUUACUGGGCGUAAAGCGCACGUAGGCGGCGAUUCAAGUCAGAGGUGAAAGCCCGGGGCUCAACUCCGGAACUGCCUUUGAAACUAGAUUGCUAGAAUCUUGGAGAGGCGAGUGGAAUUCCGAGUGUAGAGGUGAAAUUCGUAGAUAUCGGAAGGAACAUCAGUGGCGAAAGCGGCUUCCUGGACCAGUACCGACGUUCAGGCACGAAAGCGUGGGGAGCAAACAGG